rnacentral:lncRNA from 1 species
GUACCCUAUGUCAGCUAUGCAUUAGGUGACAGCAGCAGUCAAAAGCACUCCUGCGGUACACCUGUAGCCCCGAUGCAUAAGUGGUAUGGGUUUGCGCCAGCUGAAAGGUGCUGUGUAUCCGGGGAAUUCUCAGGGAGAGCUAGGGCAGCUCUGGGCUCCUGCCACCUCCCUGCUUCAAGGGGCUGAAGUGUGUUCCCCCCGAAGGCAGCACUGCUGCUGCGGACUGUGGUGAACAGCAGUGUUCAGUUGAGGUCAGAUGAUGACACCUCACUUGAGAGUUUCUGUGCAUUCUGCAGUUCUGUUUUGAAGUUGCAGUUACAAAGUAUAUUAAUUCUAUUGCCCAUGCAUUUCAGUGCUCAGAAAAGAGAAGUGUAAAUUGAAGUUGGUUGUGCUCUGAAGAAACCCACUUCUGUGUGUGAGAGGGCAUCUCCUUACCAGCCAUCACCUUUCCGUUGGUAUAGAUGCCAGUUUCUGUCAACGGUGAUUGAUUGGUUUGGGGGGAAAUAUCCCAGUUCAGGAGAAAUGAGGGUGAGAUCACCUACUUGGUCUACAAGGCCCCCCACGAGCUGGCAGGAGGGAUCAUCUUGCAUUGCUCUGGACCAGCUGUGUGGAGGCUGGAGUAGUUCUAGGGCUCAUCACGAGUCUCCUAAGCUAUUCACUCCUCUUCUGUGUAGAAUGUGGUUAUUGUGCAUUUAUUUAAAGUGCUUCAGGUAGGAAAAUGGAUAUUUACAAUUAAAUAUAUGUAAAUGGAAGUGGGAAGGCUUGAUUGGAAAAAUACCAAGUUUCUAAUACAUAUUACUAUACUAAGACCUCCCACACAAGAUAAACAUUUAUAGUCAGAUCUAAUGAAUAUUCCUCUCUGGUUACUGUGCCAAUGGAGAGCCAUAGAAGUAUCAAAAUCUUUUUGUUUGCAUCUCGAUCCUCUACAGAACUGGAAGAAUAUUUUAUUUGAUUUGGCUCUAGUUUAUUCUGUGCAAUGUUAUGCCUCUAGUUAAUCCAAUAAAUGUUUAUUGGGCUGGCCAAAUGUGAUGCUGUACCUUUUAAUUCUUCUUGUGUGACUAUGCAAUGUACAAAGAGCAGGUGAUCCUUGCAAAUGUCGAACAUUAAAAGAGAAAGUAUUGAGCUGU